ACUCUACGCACUUCGUAAAAAAAAAGACGUACAAUUACAAAAGAGCCCCUCCCAUGUCGAAUUGAUCCUCCAGAUAUUUUCUUCUCUCUCCUCCUCCUUCAUUCUUCCACACCAACAACAAAAAAAGAGAGAGAAAAAAAACAAUAUUGCCACUACAACUUGAAUGGCUUCAUUCCUUGCUUUUUUGUCUGUUAAACUAGCUGUUGACGACAGCUGGAGAUUGAUUGGUUCAUGUAGAUCAUAUCUGUUGCUGAUUGUAUGUGUGGCCUGAACGCCCCCACUCGGUUCACUUCCACAUCCUUGCUCAGAAACCUGGAAAUAGAUAACUUCUCCUUAGAUUAAGGUCAAGGGCAUCUAUGCGUGAGGCAAAAGUUUAAUGUAAAAUUACAUUUUUGUGGUGCAUACUUAAACAAGUGGAGAUUUGUUAGAUCUUUGAUGCUGAGUCCAGAAAGUUCUUCACCCAGAAGCUGCCUGUGGUUCAUAAAAAAGGAUAACAGUUAGUACCUCAAGAUGGCCCUUAUACGUUUGAGGCAAGACAAGGAAAGAAGAUGAAGUAUGAGAGGUGAUUAAAUAGGACAUGUUGCAUUUUCAAAUGAUAGAUAGGUAACUGGAAUCAAUAAUGCUAUAUAUUUUGGCUUUUACCAUACUCAACCUUUUUUAUCUUUUUCUCUCUCUUCCAUAUUUGCUAGUAGGGUUGUGCAGUUAGUACCAAGUAAAAUAUUAGAAAUAAUUGUACUACUCCAACCUCUCCAAGACACUAAUAGACCUUAUAGGGAUACCUUCUUGAUCACAAAGUUUUCCAGCAUUCAUACUUUUUCCAUGGAAGUAGUUACUUCCUAAAUUUUGAGUGUAGCUAAAGUCAAGUCUUGCAAAAAUUAUAAUGAUUCGCAAAGUAUCCUUGUGAUUUAAGGUGCUGAUCAAGUUCCAAAAUUGAGGUUGCGGUUUUGAGUCAUCAAGAGAGAAAAGUAUAGAAGGACCAUCUUUGACAUUGGGAGAGGCUUGUGCUAACAUAUAUUAGAAAAUAUCUCCGCUCUAAUAGUUUUAGCCUUUUAGAUGAGGUGAUUCCACAUAAUUCAACACAUUAUAAUGUAUCAAAUGCUCAAUCUCUAGUGUAUAAAGGCAUGGCAUUGCUUAAUCUAUAGCCUAUACAAGAAAAGAUCUUAUGGCAUAGAGGCAUGUAAAAAUAUACCAUUCAAAUCAACUUACCUGUGAUUUUCUUGCAAGUAAUGCAGCUGCUGCCUCAAGUUUGCUACUUCCCUUUGCCAAAACUAGCCAAAAAAGCAAGAGAAAAAAGAAAAAAGUAGAACGAAGUUUGUCAUUACUAGUUUCACUUGACGAGUACUACAUUAGGGUGACAAGAUAAAAUAAAGUAUAGAAGGCUUAUUAAUCAUAAGAUGAAAUCAGAUACACAUUCCAUGUAUCUUCCCUGAAUAGUGCUUGGUGUUUAUUGCUACCCAUGAUAAAUUCAACUAUUCAAGAAAAGCGCCCAAGGUUGGGCCUAGUGGUCAAUGAAGUGGGUUGAGAACCAUGAGGACUCAGGUUCAAAUUCCAGUGUAGGCAAAAAUACUAGGUAAGUUCCUAAUCUAUCCAAGCCUUAGUGGAAGGAGUUAUCCGGUACCUGGGCUGGUGGGAGGUAGCAGGUACCCCAUGGAAUUAGUCGAGGUGCGCGCAAACUGGCCCUGAUACCAUGGUUAUUAUAAAAAGCACUUUGGAAUGAUGAGUGCUACUUUUAGAUGCACACCAUUUUUGUUCAGUUUCAACUAUGCCUCAAUCUUAAACUAGUUGAAGUCAGCUGUAUGAAUCCUCUACAUCCGUUUUGAUUUAUUCGAACCCAUCAAAUUGGAAGCUUAUAGAAAACGAAUACAUUUAAAAGAAUUGGAUCUUGAUCAUUCAUCUCGAGAAUAUUGUUUUUUAUAAGGUAAAUAAUUUUAUUAACAUUGAAGAAAACCCAUAUACAAGCUGUAUAUCAAAAGAAGAGAAUCUACACCAAAAUAUAGUUCUCAGCAAAAGAGAUCCAAUGCUCUAUACAAAUAGGGACCUCGUAAGUACACCAAAGAGAAACUAGAGACAAAUAACUACUUUGCAAUUUUACAAAUUUUUGUUCCAGCCCCUUUUUUUUUUUAUGACAGAACCCGCAGCCGCUACAAAGGGGUGCGCACAGGGUAAACCCCGCUCCUGUGCCAUAGCCCGCAAAUCACACAGGAGAGAUAACCCGCACUAGGCAAGCCAUGUGCGACGAGCUCGACCCAGAAGGCAGAUUUCCUUCUUUCGUAGGCAGGGGGUUUCGAACCUGAGACCUCCAUUAUGAAAGUCCCAUGCUCAACCAACUGAGCCACCCUUGCGGGUAUGUUCCACCCCUUUUAAAUGCCCUCCUAUUUCUCUUUCCAAAUGACCCACAUGAUGGCUAAGGGGGAAACACUCCAUGCCCUUGGGCUUCUCUUCCCCUUCCUAGGAGUCCACUUUGCAAAGCCUCCUUCAUUGAGCCUGGCAUCACCCAUUGCAUCCCAAACAAAUAAGGGUCACUCUCCAUAAUCGAUUAGCUACUUUAUAGUGCAAUAGAAUAUGAUCUACAUUUUCGUCCGCACUCUUGCACAUAAAGCACCAACUAACAUAGGUGAUCCUCCUCUUCCUCAAAUUUUCCGCUGUUAGAUCACACCUCUUGCCGCCAACAAUACAAAGAAACACACCUUUCUCGGUGCUCUAAGGAUUCAAGCUAACGAAAUUUGAUGCCCUAUUAUGGAGAAACAAUGAAAGCGUGGGGUGUGUUUCAUGGACACAUUGACUUCAAAGUUGAAUGAGAUAGGAGUAUGUUUUACGCCGACACGUGAUGAGUCUUUAAGUAACUCACUCCAAAUGAGUUUUCAGUGUAUCAAUUUAGAAGACACCGACUAUAGUACAAGUGUACAGAGAAGAGGACUGCGAAGUUGGUGAGUUCCAAGCAGAGAAGAAUCCAGGAUGGGUUCACCAUUGCUUUUAAGAUAAGAUAUAAAAUUUUAUAGUGACAUCAACUUGCCAAGAAAAAGAUAAGUAAAUUGUUUUAUAAUCAUAACGGCAUCAAAGAGAUGCAUAAUUAAAGGCUGCUUUAGAUUUUUUAUUUUUUAUUUUAAAAUGCGAAAGUGCAGCAAGUAGGUUUCAAUCCCUCAACCUUGAGGAUUUAGACUUGGCACUUAACCAAUGCUCCACUCAAUCUCAAUUGGCAAUGGGUUCCUUCAGCUAAUAUUAGAUAUAUUUUAAAAAUUGUACACAUAAUAUACCGAGUUUAGUCGGAGGACCAUGUGUUCACGUGACCCAUUUUUUCAACCUAAAUUCGCCAUUGGUUCCAAGUACCUCCCUACUCUUUUUUCGAUAAUGGUGAUGUCUAGGUCAAUUUACGUGCACCUCGAGUAUACCACUGGUAUCUACUAUCUGCAUCAACACAGGUACCGAUAACUCUACUCAACUAAGUUUUGACAGAUGGGAAAAACACCUAGAAUUUUUUGUCUUUGCUUGAACUUGACUGUUAUCCCAUGAUUUUCACCCACUUCAUUUAUUGUUAGACCGCACCCUCGGCUGCAACGGGUAUGUAUCUCCUAACUUUACUAUACAAAUAGGAGAUGUCACAGAUAAAAUCAGGAUGCAACGAGUGGAGGAGAAAAUGAAAUAGACUAUUCUCGGUUAAGUUAUUCUACCACAGAAUUUUGCGGGAAAGGUAACACUCCCUUACUCCUAAGUAUGGAUUUCCAAGAGUGUACUGAAGUAUGUUUUUCCACCUUGUUAGCGGUAAGGGGGCUAAUCCCUAUACUUGAAACUUAUGAUGAGGAAAAGGGUUACACAUUUGAGUUGGUGCUACCUGUGCAAGACAUUGGCAGAUGAUGUGGAUUACUUACUGUUGCAUUGCAUGGUAGCACAUCAAUUAUGGGGCAUGGUGCUGAAUUUGUUUUGCUUGGACUAUGCUUGCCGCUAUUAAAGAGUUGCUGUUCAGCUGCAUUUUUAGGAGAGAAAUGGAGAAGCAGGCAAUGGGAAAGUAGUCCCUUUGACAAUCAUGCGGACUAUUUAUGGGAAGAAAGAUAAUAAAGCAUUUUGGAGGAAUGGCGAACUAGAAAAAAGAGAGAACAUUUUGAAGGAAUGGCUCCUUUGUACAAUAUAGGGAUUUUUUUUCUUUCUUUUGUGAACUUUCGGUGCACCCACGAGACAUGAGAUUUUUAAAUAACCAUAUUUUUGUUUGAUGGAACUUUUGAAAUGAAUAUAUUUUUGUGUAGGAUCUUUACUUUUUUGGUAUAAAAGAAAUGAGGGAAGGGGUGUCCUCUAUUUGAAUGUGAAACCUUUUGCCUCUUAUACUUAUUAAUGACCUGGAUUAAUAGUCUUAUCUGCCCAUUAGUUUUUCUAGUCUGAAAUUGAUAAAAUUUUACCUAGAUAAAAGUCGGGGAGAUAAACCUUAUCAGGUGAACAGUCCGUAAGGAAUGGCUCCUACCUCUGUUACAAUUGCUUAACAUGGUUUAAAAAUUAGCUUCUCACAAAAUUUACAUGCGAAACCUUGGUCUUUCAGCACCUUAGACAUUUGGGAAAUUAGGAGUAAUGGUUUAUCUAGAAUGAGAGGAGUCUUAUUUGCAUGCUAGGAGCAUUUUCCAUUUGUCCUAUGUGACUACCGGCCUAAUGAAUAGUCUUUUCCUCCCUGGAUUGAGUUAUAUAAUCUUGUCGAGAAUAAGUACAUACAGACCCUAUCAUCUGCACAAUCUGUGUACAAAGUGGACCAUAGUCUUCAGGUAUAUAGAAGCCUUUGUUAUACGAUUACUGGCCUGGUUGUAGAAAUCUCUUAUCCCGCAACUUCCUCUGCAUCAUUAUGCAUCAGCGCUGUAGACAUUUGGGAUCUCUGAGAUUUCAAUUAAGAAGUCCAUUAGCUAUGCCGAGGGAUCAGUCCAUCUGUGAGAUAUAAACAUGCAACACCAGAAAUGGAUGCUCACUUGAGAGCACAAAAGUAUGAUUCGGCAUUGAUGAAAGAUUAGGUCGGCUCUGAGAUACAAUACCAGGAAUAGAUACUGGUAUGAGAGCAGAAGACCAGGACAAUCAGGUUCAGGUUAUUUAUUAAAUUUGUUAGGUUCUGUUUGUUGAACUAUCACAUGAAUUUGCUCCAUGAACUAUGCUUCCUAGAUGGGGAAGACUAGUUGUCUUCAUAAUUUAAUUACGGUAUCCAUGGCGUACAAAUUCGAGCUUAGAUUUUCCAACCAAUUUAAUCUAUAAAUAGUUGUGUUGUUGAGCAAAUUGUCACAAUAUGAAAUGUAAGACCUUUGCUAGGGUUUUCAAUCACUAAACUUUUGUGCACAUUUUAUCAUAGUUUUUUGUAUUGUGUUUGCCAGGUCCGGAGCAGUGUGUUAAUUACGGGUUCGGUCGAACCCAGUAAUUGUGGUUCAAACUCUGAAUUUGUCUUUGAAUAUGUAAAAGAUAUUAAUUUAGAAACCAGCAACUUAAAAGAAAUAGAAUUGCGACCCACAAGCUUCAAAUCCUAGCUCUGCAUGUAGUGUUUGCAGAAAGGCUAUUUCUAUUGAUAUGGUGACCAAUAAAAAUUUCCUCACAACAUGUUAUCCUUUUCAAAAAAUUUAUCUAUUACUUACCUCUUAUAGUAUAUCCUAUAUCGAUCUAGUUGACAUCCUCCAUCCACUCUCUGAUAUAGGGAUCUGCAAUUUUAAAGCAUUCUUUGUUAGACAAACGAACUAUCCUUUAAUGGAGUUUUGCUAAAAUAUUCUCAUCUGGACCUUGGCGUAACUGGUAAAGUUGCUGCCAUGUGGACCAGGAGGUCACGGGUUCGAGCCGUGGAAACAGUCUCUUGCAGAAAUGCAAGGUAAGGCUGCGCACAAUAGACCCUUGUGGUCCGGCCCUUCCCCGGAACCCGCGCAUAGCGGGAGCUUAGUGCACCGGGCUGCCCUAUUCUCAUCUGGACCUUCUCCCUAGCAUUGCACAUGUCUUUUGUCACUUCAUUCUUCUGCAAAUGCAAAUUAAAAGAGGCAUUAGAUCCUGGUCUCAGAGCGCAAUGGAUAUAUAGGAUUCUUAUAGCAGAACUCAACUGAUUUGAGAUUAAGGCUUUGUUGAUUAACCAGAUCAUGGAUUUAGCUUAUGCUGAGAUAAACUGAUUCUAAAUUCAGGCUUAUCAUGUCAAGAUGAUGGUAUUCCUUCUUCCGCUUGUCAGGCAAAUUAUCUUACCUUUCAUACAGACUCCUUUAGGUUAUAUUCUCUAGUCAAGGCAUAUGGUGGAGUACAAUUAAAUUGUAAAGGUGAGGAUUACUGGCUUUUGUCAGUUUUCAUCCCUUAUUCUCCAGUAACUUCCCUCAUUUUCAACCAUCAUGACUGAAUGACGGCACCACCUUAUUCUCCAGUAAGUUAGUGUUUCAGUCAGAGAAGGUGAACAGUUGAUGAUAACAAUAGAUGACAGCUCAAAGCGACCAACUUGGAGGAAUCUUUUUAUUUUUAUUUUUAUUUUAUUAUUAUUACAUAGGGGGUAGGGGAAGGGAAAAUAGGGGAAGGGGAUUACAAUGUGGGGAUUUGAACCUUCACCAACAAGGUGAGAGUUCAGGUAGCCAACCAACUAAGCUACUAGACCCCUACAACUUGGAGGAAUCAGGCUAUCGCCUUGAGCAAGUUUACGAACUGACAACGAGAACAGGGGGACGAAGGGAAAAAAAAGGGGACAACAAGACAAGCAGUGAAUUAGGGACACGAAGAAACUAGGAAACAGUUAACAAUAAAUAAGCAGGAAAAAGACCGCAAAGGAGAAUAACCUGAAGAUAGCAGAAACAUGGGAGGAAGGAGAUACAUGAGAGGCAGUGCGAAAACAAGAAGGGCAGUUUUUCUUAAAAGUGAUAAAUUUCCCAAGCAGGUAGAGGAAAAUGCAGCAAUAACAGCCACAACGCCUACUCAGGAAAGAUCACAAAGGAAUCGAUCGUUCUCAUAUCCAUGUCGAGGAGACACCCACCGGAAGUUUCCAUGGAGUUGACAAUUCUGGCGUAUACCAACUAAAACUCGGUUGGUGCAUUGUCCAAUGUCAGGUGCUUGAUUGGUUUUUCCGUCCAUUUUUGGCACCAAAGUAAAAACGAUGAACCAGGGUAAGGUUAGAUAAAAGAUUUGAUGGGGCUAAGGAUGGAUCCAAAAGCACUCUUACUGGAUGCAUGAAGUUGACAUACAUGGAUCCUGUGCGCUUGAGACGUUCUUCAUGACUGCUGUGAGCCAUGAUAAAGACGGGUUAACUCGAGAUCAAAGAAACGAAAAGAAGCUGAUAGGAUAGCAUGAGUGGUUUGGGCCGAUAAUAACCUUCGUAAUCAUGAGAACUUUUCUGACCAUCAUGUGAAGACCAACAGCUAUUAACUUCUCUUGCUCCUUCAUAGUCCAAGCAAUCAAUUUUUGGGAGAUAAUCAAAUCAAACCAGAGAGGUUUAGGUCUUGUUCUACAAUUGAAACUAAAGUGCUCUUUCUGGGCUCUCCCGGUUGCCCCACUUUGAUAUAUUUUAGAAAGCGAGCAAGAUAGUGGCGUCUCUGAGGAAAAGUUACUCGCACUUGGUAUUAACAUCCAGUGGAAGCUCAUGUUCGAAGGGAAGCAUUUGGUCACCAAUUGAUGUGAGAAUACAUAAUGGUUAAUCAAGUGACAAAAAAUUACAUAAAAAUUUCUCAUGCACUUACUGAUUUAGAGCAUAAAUAAUGGGUGAGAAGGUUUUCUCCAGUCAUUUCCCACGAAUAAAAGAACCAAUCAUGACUCAACUACAGUUUGAGCAAUGCACUUAUUAGUAAAAGCAGUGUAAAGUAACAUUGAAAUCAAUUUUUCUCAAGCUAUAAUUGAGGAAAAACGGUUUAGUUGGAAAAGAGGUCUAUCUCAACGGAUACUAUUUGAAAGGUUUAUUGAUGAUUCCGUUUCAAUCUGAAAACCUUCGUAA